AGUGAACGCUGGCGGUAGGCCUAACACAUGCAAGUCGAACGGCAGCACAGUAAGAGCUUGCUCUUACGGGUGGCGAGUGGCGGACGGGUGCGGAAUACAUCGGAAUCUACUUUUUCGUGGGGGAUAACGUAGGGAAACUUACGCUAAUACCGCAUACGACCUACGGGUGAAAGCAGGGGAUCUUCGGACCUUGCGCGAUUGAAUGAGCCGAUGUCGGAUUAGCUAGUUGGCGGGGUAAAGGCCCACCAAGGCGACGAUCCGUAGCUGGUCUGAGAGGAUGAUCAGCCACACUGGAACUGAGACACGGUCCAGACUCCUACGGGAGGCAGCAGUGGGGAAUAUUGGACAAUGGGCGCAAGCCUGAUCCAGCCAUACCGCGUGGGUGAAGAAGGCCUUCGGGUUGUAAAGCCCUUUUGUUGGGAAAGAAAAGCAGCAGGUUAAUACCCCGCUGUCCUGACGGUACCCAAAGAAUAAGCACCGGCUAACUUCGUG
rnacentral:rRNA from 1 species